rnacentral:precursor_RNA from 16 species
CUCCUGGACUCCAUCUUUGGCCUGUUGGAAAGCAGCGAGCAUUACGGUCAUUCUGACGCUGGAGAAUAUGACAGUAAUGCCCGCUGACUUCUAAUGGAGCUUCCUCUCAUCACUUCUGGA